rnacentral:rRNA from 1 species
GACGAACGCUGGCGGCGUGCUUAACACAUGCAAGUCGAACGGAAAGGCCCCUUUGGGGGUACUCGAGUGGCGAACGGGUGAGUAACACGUGAGUAACCUGCCCUUGACUUCGGGAUAACUUCAGGAAACUGGGGCUAAUACCGGAUAGGAAUCCUUGCUGCAUGGUGGGGGUUGGAAAGCUUCGGCGGUUUUGGAUGGACUCGCGGCUUAUCAGCUUGUUGGUGGGGUAGUGGCUUACCAAGGCUUUGACGGGUAGCCGGCCUGGGAGGGCGACCGGCCACAUUGGGACUGAGGAACGGCCCAGACUCCUACGGGAGGCAGCAGGGGGGAAUAUUGCACAAGGGGCGGAAGCCUGAUGCAGCAACGCCGCGUGCGGGAGGACGGCCUUCGGGUUGUAAACCGCUUUCAGCAGGGGCGAAGCUUGUGGUGACGGUACCUGCAGAAGAAGCACCGGCUAACUACGUG